CACCGCGGUUAAACGUUUGAGGCUCGAGCUGACAGUUCCCGGCGUAAAGGGUGGUUAAUUUAUUCCUGAAACUAAAGCCGAAGCCCUGCCCAGCAGUGGUAGUGCUCAUGCAGGUCUUAAGCUCAUCUACGAAAGUGGCUUUAUACCCCUGAAUCCACGAAAACUAGGGAA
rnacentral:rRNA from 2 species